rnacentral:rRNA from 1 species
CCUACGGGAGGCAGCAGUGGGGAAUAUUGGGCAAUGGGCGCAAGCCUGACCCAGCAACGCCGCGUGAAGGAAGAAGGCUUUCGGGUUGUAAACUUCUUUUGUCAGGGAAGAGUAGAAGACGGUACCUGACGAAUAAGCCACGGCUAACUACGUGCCAGCAGCCGCGGUAAUACGUAGGUGGCAAGCGUUAUCCGGAUUUACUGGGUGUAAAGGGGGCGCAGACGGCGAUGCAAGCCAGGAGUGAAAGCCCGGGGCCCAACCCCGGGACUGCUCUUGGAACUGCGUGGCUGGAGUGCAGGAGGGGCAGGCGGAAUUCCUGGUGUAGCGGUGAAAUGCGUAGAUAUCAGGAGGAACACCGGUGGCGAAGGCGGCCUGCUGGACUGCAACUGACGUUGAGGCCCGAAAGCGUGGGGAGCAAACAGGAUUAGAUACCCGUGUAGUC